rnacentral:rRNA from 1 species
UACGAAGGGGGCGAGCGUUGUUCGGAUUUACUGGGCGUAAAGGGCGCGCAGGCGGCUCAUUUUGUCAGGCGUGAAAGCCCCGGGCUUAACCUGGGAACUGCGUUUGAUACGGAUGGGCUAGAGUUCGGGAGAGGAGAGUGGAAUUCCCAGUGUAGAGGUGAAAUGCGUAGAUAUCUGGAGGAACACCGGUGGCGAAGGCGGCAUCCUGGACCGACACUGACGCUGAGGAGCGAAAGCCAGGGGAGCAAACGGG